GAUGACUUCGGUCACGACGGUAUGGCGAGCUUUCGCCGUCCACGUUUCUCUUUCUUCAAAAGGAUAUCGAACCAUGGGUUUGCGCUCGCGCGCUGUUCGCACCUUCGGUGCUGCGCUCCGCGAGGGCGCCGGACGACCGGCGACGGCCUCUGGCCUGUAUGGGCGGCUCUUUCUGAGGUUUUGCUCAGGUUAGGCUGCGUCAACGCAGAGAGAUGGGCCCGUAGCUCAGUUGGUUAGAGCACACGCUUGAUAAGCGUGGGGUCGGAAGUUCAAGUCUUCCCGGGCCCACCAUUUGCACCGGCAAAUGAGGUUUGCUGUAGCGAAUUGUGGUUUGUUUGGGUUUACCUGAUCCUGGCGGUUUGCUGUCAGGUGUUUGCGAUGGUUGGGGCUGUAGCUCAGCUGGGAGAGCACCUGCUUUGCAAGCAGGGGGUCAGCGGUUCGAUCCCGCUCAGCUCCACCAAUUCGCUUGGUGUCGAGACUGAGAGAUAUCCUUUGAAGAAAUAAAAGUUUUGCACCGGCUUAUGGCUGGUGCGUGUUCUGCAUACAUUGUGAAGAGAAGAUUGAUCUGGAGGCUUCCAGGUGUUGUGGGUUUUGCCCAUGAUGUCCGAGCCCAGUUCCUGUGAAACCAUGGAUGGCCUAGCCGGCCGGAUGUGGUGGAGGGAUUGGAGGUAGGUAGGAAGCUUGUCGCUCUGGAUCGUCAGCGUAAACCGCGUAGCGGUUUAUCGCGUGUUGUUCGUUGCCUUUGGGCAUCGUCUGACGGACGAUCGGAUUA
rnacentral:tRNA from 1 species